rnacentral:rRNA from 1 species
GGCGGCGCGCUUAACACAUGCAAGUCGCACGAGAAAGUGGAGCAAUCCAUGAGUACAGUGGCGUACGGGUGAGUAACACGUGGAUCAUCUACCUCGUAGUGGGGAAUACCCCCGGGAAACUGGGGAUAAUACCGCAUAAUCCUGUGAAGGGAAAGCCGAAAGGCGCUGUGAGAGGAGUCCGCGGCCGAUUAGCUAGUUGGUGAGGUAAUGGCCCACCAAGGCGAAGAUCGGUAGCCGGCCUGAGAGGGCACACGGCCACACUGGCACUGAAACACGGGCCAGACUCCUACGGGAGGCAGCAGUGGGGAAUCUUGCACAAUGGAGGAAACUCUGACGCAGCGACGCCGCGUGAGCGAUGAAGCCCUUCGGGGUGUAAAGCUCUUUCGACGGGAACGAUAAUGACGGUACCCGAAGAAGAAGCUGCGGCUAACUACGUGCCAGCAGCCGCGGUAAUAC